CUAAGAAAGAAAGGGUGGGGUGGGGUGGAUAAUUUCAUUUCAGGUGAACUUUUGUAACCUUUCUUGUACCCAACAACAGAUCAGAAUGGCUCUCAUGCUCUGAUUUUUGGCCACUUUCCCUCGAGUGUUGGCCCAGCAUACAGUGUCUGUUUUACCAGGCCAUCACCUGCAUCUGUGAAUAAGAGGAGGGUUCUCAGUGCUAUGAAGAUGUAUAAGAUGACUCACUCACCAAUGAAUAUACAUACACGGAAAUGACAGCGCUCUAACCGCCUUUCUAUCUGAACAAUGAAUACAUUAGAAAGGAGUGUUACCACAUCUUUGUAAAUGGCAGUUAAAACGGUCACAUUGUUUCCUGAUGAGGUUUCUAUUUAUCUUAACAUCUAGAAGUUAUGUGAAACAUGGAUUGUGGAUUAAUGACUAGGCAGUUCUGAGCCCAACUUUAAUACAACUUUGUGGCAAAUGGAAGUGGCACAGUAGCCUACAAGCCCUAAACCCUCUUCAAAGGUAAGGUUGGGAGGGUCUCAGCAGCUUAAAUACAACUUCUCUUCAACGUGUUUAUUUCCACAAAAGCUGGAGAAUUCAAGUAGCCAUCUGCGACGGACUUGCUGGUCUGGGUCUGGUUUCCUCUUACAAGAGCAAUGGUUUGAAUUUGUAACCCGGGACUUUGGAAACUUGCAUCUUCAAGUCUCAACUCGAAUAGCCUGGGGGAACUUGCCAAUCGUAUGCAGCCUCUUCUGUUAGCUUUAUUGUUCCUGGCUGUUCAGUUUCCCAGAUGUUGAAGACAAGAUGUUGCAUACUGACACUGGAUAUCGGACCCAGUCUAUGCUUAGGUCAUCACUGUGAAAACAGAAGGUAUGUUUUCCACACAUCCCAGCUUCCAAGAGCCCAGCGCA
rnacentral:lncRNA from 1 species